rnacentral:lncRNA from 1 species
GACAACGAUGAGCCGUCUUCUACCGCUGCUGCUAUCCCUUCUCCUCCUCCAAGUCUCCCUCCUGGCCGCGCAGCCCGCUCUGCCCGAGCCUGACGCCGCUUCCAUUCAGCUCAUACCCUCCACCUCCUCUGCCGCUGCUGGUGGCGCCUCCUCCUCUUCCCCUCCGGCCACCAUUCCCGCCUUUCCCGAGCAGUCCGACGUCUCCACAGCCGCCUGUCCCCUCGACCCCCCUUCCGACCUCCUCCCUUCCGUCUCCGCUGCCUGCGUUGCCUCCGAUGACAGUCUUCCCUCCC